GACGAACGCUGGCGGCGUGCUUAACACAUGCAAGUCGAACGGUGAAGCGCCUUCCUUUUUGGUGGGUGUGGAUGAGUGGCGAACGGGUGAGUAACACGUGAGUAACCUGCCCCCUUCUUCUGGAUAACCGCAUGAAAGUGUGGCUAAUACGGGAUAUUCUGGGUCUGUCGCAUGAUGGGUCUGGGAAAGAUAUUGUUUCGGUGGGGGAUGGGCUGGCGGCCUAUCAGCUUGUUGGUGGGGUGAUGGCCUACCAAGGCGGUGACGGGUAGCCGGCCUGGGAGGGUGGACGGUCACACUGGGAGUGAGACACGGCCCAGACUGCUACGGGAGGCAGCAGUGGGGAAGAUGGCACAAUGGGGGCAAGCCUGAUGCAGCGACGCCGCGUGAGGGAUGGAGGCCUUCGGGUUGUGAACCUCUUUCGCCAGUGAAGCAGGCCUGCCUCGUUUGUGGGUGGGUUGACGGUAGCUGGAUAAGAAGCGCCGGCUAACUACGUG
rnacentral:rRNA from 1 species